rnacentral:rRNA from 1 species
CAGUCGCCACGGUAAUACGGAGGGUGCAAGCGUUAAUCGGAAUUACUGGGCGUAAAGCGCACGCAGGCGGUCUGUCAAGUCAGAUGUGAAAUCCCCGGGCUUAACCUGGGAACUGCAUUUGAAACUGGCAGGCUAGAGUCUUGUAGAGGGGGGUAGAAUUCCAGGUGUAGCGGUGAAAUGCGUAGAGAUCUGGAGGAAUACCGGUGGCGAAGGCGGCCCCCUGGACAAAGACUGACGCUCAGGUGCGAAAGCGUGGGGAGCAAACAGGAUUAGAUACCCCGGUAGUCCCUGUCUCUUAUAA